GUACGGAAGGCAGCAGUGAGGAAUAUUGGUCAAUGGACGCGAGUCUGAACCAGCCAAGUAGCGUGAAGGAUGACUGCCCUAUGGGUUGUAAACUUCUUUUAUAAGGGAAUAAAGUGAGGGACGUGUCCCUUUUUGUAUGUACCUUAUGAAUAAGGAUCGGCUAACUCCGUGCCAGCAGCCGCGGUAAUACGGAGGAUCCAAGCGUUAUCCGGAUUUAUUGGGUUUAAAGGGAGCGUAGGUUGACAUAUAAGUCAGCUGUGAAAGUUUACGGCUCAACCGUGAAAUUGCAGUUGAUACUGUAUGUCUUGAGUGUACAAGAGGUGGGCGGAAUUCGUGGUGUAGCGGUGAAAUGCUUGGAUAUCACGAAGAACUCCAAUUGCGAAGGCAGCUCACUGGGGUACAACUGACACUGAGGCUCGAAAGUGUGGGUAUCAAACAGGAUUAGAUACCCGAGU
rnacentral:rRNA from 1 species